rnacentral:lncRNA from 1 species
AAAUCAACCUUUAAUUAGUAUAUAAUUUCCUACGUUAUUGAUAGUGUAAAAAAAUUAAAGCAUUGUAGAGGGACCCUCUAUUAAAAUAUUAUGUAUGCCCCAUGAUACUUCCAUUUAACUAAAACUAAUACAUUCAUGCCACGUAAACUAUCAACUUAGUGUGUAAAAUGACGUAUCAACCAUUUGUCGAUAUAACAUUAUUCUGUUUCCAUAUGAUGCGAAAUGAAGGGAAAUGUGAUUGUCAUUACUGGAAAUGACUGAUUUAUCCUUCAUUAUUCUAGAACCCUAAAAGCCCUAAGCAUUAGUUGGGUAUAUAUAAAAAACAAUCAACAACUAAAUUAACUUCAACUUUGGUGCGACAAUAAAAAAAUGAAUGACAAUGAGAUAGUGUGUAUCGAGGCAGUUUCAAGUCCUACCACUAAUAAAAGUUAGCGUUAGGAUUUUAAUUUGUCUUCCGUUAAUAGGUAGGGAUAAUUAAGAUUUAAUUUUUCUCCUAUUAAUGAGAAAGGUUAGAUAGGAGUAUUGAAAAAAAAAAUUAUUUUCAAGGGAAAAUAAUUUUAAAUGUUUAGUAAGAAUAU